rnacentral:misc_RNA from 1 species
UUGCAUCGAUGAAGAACGCAGCGAAAUGCGAUAAGUAAUGUGAAUUGCAGAAUUCAGUGAAUCAUCGAAUCUUUGAACGCACAUUGCGCCCGCCAGUAUUCUGGCGGGCAUGCCUGUUCGAGCGUCAUUACAACCCUCAGGCCCCCGGGCCUGGCGUUGGGGAUCGGCGGAAGCCCCCUGCGGGCACAACGCCGUCCCCCAAAUACAGUGGCGGUCCCGCCGCAGCUUCCAUUGCGUAGUAGCUAACACCUCGCAACUGGAGAGCGGCGCGGCCACGCCGUAAAACACCCAACUUCUGAAUGUUGACCUCGAAUCAGGUAGGAAUACCCGCUGAACUUAAGCAUAUCAAUAAGCGGAGGAAA